AGAGUUUGAUCAUGGCUCAGGAUGAACGCUGGCGGCGUGCUUAACACAUGCAAGUCGAACGAAGCAUUUGCGACAGAUUUCUUCGGAUUGAAGUUGCUUAUGACUGAGUGGCGGACGGGUGAGUAACGCGUGGGUAACCUGCCUCACACAGGGGGAUAGCAGUUGGAAACGGCUGAUAAUACCGCAUAAGCGCACAGCAUCGCAUGAUGCAGUGUGAAAAACUCCGGUGGUAUAAGAUGGACCCGCGUUGGAUUAGCUAGUUGGUGAGGUAACGGCCCACCAAGGCGACGAUCCAUAGCCGACCUGAGAGGGUGACCGGCCACAUUGGGACUGAGACACGGCCCAA
rnacentral:rRNA from 1 species